GCUCCCGCGUCAUGCGGUUUUUUGUGCAAAUGUCAAAUUCGGAUUCAGCGACCCAAAAAACAUAAACCCUGCAUCUUGGUUCUUUGUCUCAGAAAUUUGCAAGGUGGACCCCUGUUUUGAGCUCUGGGGCCUGGACUAACAACCUGGUUCUUCAUUGUUAUAGUAAUCUGUCUAGUUAUAUUAAAAAUCAGGUACAGGAAAAUCAUGUUCCUUGAAAAAUAGUACCAUAUUGAAAAAAUAAAAUUAUAGUACAUUAUCAUACAGUGCUGAGUAAUGAGAUGUUUGAUAAAACAAAGCAAAUCACGGGUUGAUCUGCAGACCGACCACACUAGGCUCAACUCCAUGAACCUAAGUUACAUCGGUACUGGAAUACAGAAUUCGCUUUUUGAACUGAAAGCAAGUAUAGGUAUACCAAUCAAGAUGUAUAUGAGUCAAAGCGUGUAACCUAGCAACGUUAGGCUAAUAAAACAGGCAAGCAAAAAUUUUGUAAAACUUCAGUCAAAAAUUUUCUAGUGCAUCGACCAAAAUUAUAAAUAUGCCUAAUUGCUGCGGCUGCCCUCAUAUAAAACCUUUCACGCCACCGCUAACACCUUGCGGAGUACCUGCGUAUCAAAUACCAUAUUGUUUUCCUGUAAAACCUCCACCGUUCACAUGCACCCCUUGUGCUGGGCCGUGUUAUGUUCCAUGUCCUCUGUGGGUCGAUAGCCCUAAACAAUCACAGGAUGCGUGUCAAUAGUCUAAGAGAAUCUAUCAUUGUAAUUGUGUUUUGAAAUAAAAAUUCCUAAUAAAUUUUCAUACUGAAGUAA